AACGUGGGGGGCCAGCGUUGCUCGGAAUUACUGGGCGUAAAGGGUUCGUAGGCGGUGCGGUAAGUCGGAAGUGAAAUCUCUGGGCUUAACUCAGAGGCUGCUUUCGAAACUGCCGUGCUAGAGUGCGGGAGAGGCGAGUGGAAUUGCAGGUGUAGCGGUGAAAUGCGUAGAUAUCUGCAGGAACACCCGUGGCGAAGGCGGCUCGCUGGACCGCAACUGACGCUGAGGAACGAAAGCUAGGGGAGCAAACAGG
rnacentral:rRNA from 1 species